rnacentral:misc_RNA from 1 species
CAGCCGGGUAAUUCCAGCUCCAAUAGCGUAUAUUAAAGUUGUUGCAGUUAAAAAGCUCGUAGUUGAAUUUCGGAAUCAAUAUGUUGGUCGUGCCUUGGUACGUACUGGCGUCAUUGGUUUCUACCUUCUGAAGAACCUCGAUGUCGUUAAUUUGGUGUCUUGGGGAAUCAGGACUGUUACUUUGAAAAAAUUAGAGUGUUUAAAGCAAGCUCACGCUUGAAUACAUUAGCAUGGAAUAAUGAAAUAGGACGUUUGAUUCUAUUUUGUUGGUUUCUAGGAUCGACGUAAUGAUUAAUAGGGAUAGUUGGGGGCAUUAGUAUUCAAUUGUCAGAGGUGAAAUUCUUGGAUUUAUUGAAGACUAACUACUGCGAAAGCAUUUGCCAAGGAUGUUUUCAUUAAUCAAGAACGAAAGUUAGGGGAUCGAAGACGAUCAGAUACCGUCGUAGUCUUAACCAUAAACUAUGCCGACUAGGGAUCGGAUGAUGUUAAUUUUUUAAUGACUCAUUCGGCGCCUUACG